rnacentral:lncRNA from 1 species
CAAACCAAAAACUGGUUAUUUCGAAAAGUAAAAUUAAGAAAUAAAUGAUACAAAUAGAUCAAACAUUUAUAAUAUCACCAAGAAGAAUUAAUGUCAAAGUUAAUGAAAACGAGAACCCCACUAAUUCGUGUCUCCCUAUUGUGAGCUCCUCCAUUAGUCUCGGUGCAUUUUCUCUCUUUUUUUUAUUUUGUGAAGACGUGUGCACUUAAUCAAGCAUGCCUCGGCCAAGAAAGUGGUAUCCAGCUGGAUAUACCCUCCUUGUACGUAAACUCGGGCAAGUUCGUAAACGUAAGGAGCGAUUUUUCGCGGUGGAUGUGAGGUUUGCGUGCUGCUAAAAAGAACUCUUCAACAGGGGCAAAAUGGACGUGUAAACACCCAGCAACAGGAGGAACAUGACACCUUCCAGGAUAUUCUUCGAGACAGCAACAAUGGAACCAGUUUUCAAAAGAACCACAGCUUUUAAUGUGUUCUGCAGCAAAAGGCUGAAGGGAACACGAGUCACAUGGGAUGCAAUGACAGUUAAAGCAUUAGAAAACAGUUUGGGGCCUCUUGGGCCAUUGAUCACAUACCCAGUUCAACUGAAAUUGAAUAAAUUCGCCAGGACAAUCCAGUUUUGGCUAAAUUUUAUAUUAAUUCUUUGAUAUUAAUCAAAUUAACCAGAAAAUUUAUAAAAGUAGAAUGAAAAGAAAAUAACAUUUAUUAUUUAUGGUUUACAUUUGUGCAUAGCUUAGGAUUUACUUUAAAUUUAGUCAGAUAAGACAUAAUGAACCAUCUUGCAUGUUGUGACUUCUGGAUAUACAUACAAGUAUUGGCUCUUCAGUAACUGCAUUGGCUUUAGAGCAGAGUAGUGCUGAAUGAUUUUCCAUUGCAGUCCGAACAGCAGAUUGUAAAAUGUGAUUCAUAUUCAUCAAGUCAAUACUGUCAUGUAUAUAUGGGAGUAAGUAUGCUGUUUUCUCUUUUCAUUUGUUUUAAAUUUGUAUUAAUAUAUUUCGCACAUUGUAAAAUUUCUUCUUCAAUGUGGACAUAAAAACAUUUCAUGGGAUUAAAAAGUGUAUGUCAGUUUUCAGAAAAAAUAUGCAGUUGAUGUCUUUUGUCUGUUUUGAAUGUCUCAAAGCAUGGAAAGUAAGUAGAUGUGUAACAAAAAAGUAUGGAUGGUGAAAAGAGGUUGCAGCCUUUAUCUGUAACUUUAAAACAGACUCAGUUUCCCCCUCCUCCUCCUCCUACUCCUCCUCGUCUUCCUCAUCUUUUUUUGACUGGUAAUUUCUUUCUGAUAAAAAAAAAAACCAGUUUUAGAACUGAUCUUGAUGUCAGAUCUUAAGGUGUGAUUUAAAAGAAAGACCGAAUAGCGCUGACAAAAAUAAUAAUUCAAACAGCUGAUAAAUUGAAAACCAUUAUGCUUACACUAUUUCCGGCUUAAGAAGGACGGGGAAGACAACAAAGUAUGAUUAAGAACCCUCAACCUUGUGUGGCUAUGACUCCAGCUUUUAUUCUAGCGCCGCUUUGACAGUAUAUAAUACAGUAUCCAAUAACACAGUAGAGCACAAAUUCGUAAAACAUAUAUAGGUGUGUUGCAUAACGACGGAAUAUUUAGCAACUGAACUUGGCUUUAAUUACAUACUUGGCGUCUAUAUCCCCCUCGGUGACAUCAUACAGCUUACUUUCCCUACGCAACAUAUGAGCAUUUGGUCUUUUCUUGACCGAAACCGUCAAAUGAAACACGUGGAUCGCAACAGACACAGCAGCGAUUGACACAUUGAACAUGACUUACAGAAGCACUAUCAUACACUUUGCUACAUAGUACGGAAGCCAAAGUUUAGUCUAGUCCAUGUUACUACUCGAGGAACAAAGGGCCGCAACAACACCUCACCAUCGGACCCGGUUUGGGACAGCAUGCCUCAUUUGGGUUCAUGUGGUUCCGAUAUCCUUUGUCUCGCACUCUACUGUUCUUUUCCAAGUCUGCUUUGGUCUCCCAACUCUCCUCUUUCCCUGAGGGUUCCAGUCAAGUGCCUGCUUGGCAUUGGUGUCAGGUGGUUUGCGCAGGGUGUGUCCUGUUCAGCCCCAUUUGCGCUUUUUGAUGUCUUGACUAGUGGCAUUCUGGUUGGUUCUUUUGCACAGGCUGCUGUUGGAGAUCUUUUUAGUCCGUCUUAUUCCCGGGAUAUGGUGUAGAUGGCCUAUGUCACUCUCCAUGUUUCAGAACUAUACAGUAGGACUGCAUUCACAUUUGUGUUGAAGAUGCGGGUCUUACUGCGGAAGGAUAAUGCUCGGGAGUUCCAGAUGGGGCGUAGGCUGUUGAUUUGCGCACGCUGGGGCAUCUUGUUGCUAAAUAUCUUUAAUCUCAUCUGUCAUUCUCUAGUUAACGAUUUUGUAUGUUAUGUUGGUUUUUUUUUUCCCCGAAAAGCGCCAUGAGCCAUAGGGCCGCAAUAUGGCGCUAUACAAGUUUACAAUAAUUAUGAUGAUGAUGAUGAUGAUAAUAAAGAGGCAUGUCUGGCCUUUUUGAUGUCAUCGUCCGUUCCAACAUCUCUGUUGACAAUGCUCCUCAGAUACGUGAAGCGGUCUGUUUCCAGGAUGUUCUCUCCUUGAAGUUGGAUUGGGAGUUCCUGCUUGUUGUGGAUUCUCAUCACUUCGGUCUUCUUACUGCUGACCUUUGAAGCCAGUACGGAUGCCAAAGACACCCUCGAAAUUCAUAAUCUCUUUUACCCUUUUCACCGGUCUGUAAAGCGAAUAAAAGCAUUCGACAUCCAGUGCCUGAGAAAACAGUUCCGAAUUUCUUCUAUUCAUCACAAGACUAAUGAAGGUGUGCGAAUCAUGAUGGGCCAACGAGAACCCCUUCUGGAGACGGGAAAAUCGUCUCUUGUCUGGCCAUGUAACCAGCCACAAGACUUUAGUGAAGAACAUCCUCUGGAAAACCCUUGAGUGAGGACAAAGACAAUGAGGGUUGAGGAAGAACCAACAUAAAAUAUAGGGCUAAACAUGCCACUCAGCAGGAAUGAUGCAAGACUUGCGCAAGAACUGUCUCAAUGUCCCCGACGAUACCACAGUAUUGUGUAAAAGAAGAUAUGAAUGAAUAAUCAAUUAGUCUUCCAGGGAAAACAAAUCGACGAUUGUUUAACACAAGUCAAAUAACAGAUUUGUAGGUACAUAAAAAUAGAAAAUCGCGCGGGCAUACUUAUGUGUGGCACCUCUUCACCCAGCCCCGGGAGUUUGGUGCUAGAAUUCAGUAGGCUAGGCAGGUGGAUUAGAAUAGAAAUAGCAGUUGCGUGUGUGUGUGUGUGUGUGUAAGUAAUGUAAAUAAAUCUGUCUUUAAACCUAUUUGCUUGUGGUAACAUGUCUGUCCACAAGAAUGCUAGCUUGUUGCACUUAUGUCCUGGUCGUGCGAAUGAGCUGAACGUUGAUCACUGUAGUGAACGAGAUUCGUGUUGUCCGUAGUUGUGACAUAGCAGAAGAAUGCACCAAAGAAAACACACUUCUGCUGGGUACAAUGCAGCGACUUUUGUAGAUUCCAAGGUCGGCUAAGCGCGGGUGUGCAGUAGAUGAUAAAAACAGAAAAAGACAACCACACCAACACAUUAGAUAACGCACGCGACGAAGGAAAGCCAGAAUUUCUACAAUUACUCCAAUGCUACAAGGUUGUCCUCCACUAAAGGAAGCUGCUUAUCUCUACUAGCUGCUCAUUGACAUAAGUUUCUGUUUUGCUAACACUGUUAUUUUGUGGUCAUAGGUGUCUUAAGUGUCACGGGACGGCUCUCGGCGCUUGGACUGAUUCCAUCCUCUCCACCCGCGGGGACCGCCCGUCUCGUAGCGGGAAAAGACACACCCAAUACAUAUUAAGAAAUGAUAUAUUUACGAAAAAGUUCUAUAUUAUUAGAAGUUAAACGUUAAAGUCCCAGAAGUAACCAAGACCUUCAUAUCUGACCUUACUUUUAGAACGGAAGAUGACCUCUUGUAUCAAGUUUGCAUUUAGGGUUUAUUUGUCUGUUGUUCCUAUAUCUCAUCUACUCCUGUCUUUGCCCCCUUUUCUCUGUCUGCAUUGUCUCUUAUACAUUAGGUGUAAUUUACCAUUUUUCUGAAUAACUCCCAGCAAACACGCAAGAUUCGGCCAAGUUAGGGAAAGUCUUGUAACAUUGGUUUGCCCAUUGCCAGUCAUCCCCCAAACAAGCGCCAACGUUCACCGUGCGCGCACAACUAUCGCAGCUGUUGCUCUAUCUAAAUCCGUGAUACCACUUUGAUGUCGAAUGUGUACGAUUGCAGAUGAGUUUUUACAAGUUAUGAAAGUGGAAAGUUGCCCGCUGUAAUCAAUAGAAAGAUACAGAUGCAUGUGGUGUUAGGUGGUCGUCUUUUGUGGCGUGAUUUUUCUGACGAACACCCAUUGUAGUGUGAAAGUACAUAUAACUGGUUUAACUUUUAGUAGCAGUGUGCUUCUUUAAUUCUUCUCGAACAUUGCCUGCUUGAUUCUCACCUCCUUUGAAGAUUUCCCUGAUCUGCAACAACCCUUCUUGCCAGUUUGCGAAAACUUGUCAAUGUUGUACUCGUGUAGUCGGUGUGUGUUUAUGUACAGCAAUAAGAGGGCGCUGUUGGAAGUGAUCUACACAUACAACUACUGAUGACAGUCCGCACAAUCGUGAUUGACCCCCGAUCAUGUCGAAAAGCAGUUCACGCGAACACACUAAGGAUCAACACACACCUUUUCGUUCACGGUGACUCGUCCUUACCUGCAAUCGUGGAGUUCAUCCAUUUGUAUAGUUGGCACCGUACACCAACGGAACUGCUACCUUCCCCGACUCAUAAUCCUCCUGAAUGCCACGAACCCGAGCAUAGCCAGAGCCUACUACUUCUAUGAUACGUUGUAAACAAACACGCGCGCACACACACACACAUGCGUAAAAUUUUGUCUCUCAUUUACAACAAAUACCACACUCUCGUUUUUCAAGCCCUUUUCAAUUUAUUGAACAUACACUUUAAUGAAGUACAGUAAAAUACCUAUUCGUGCUAGGUCAAGCGGUGGAUUUACAGGGAUAGUGUUUGUCUGACCACAGAAGUCUCCCUGCUAGAUGCAAAAUACGGGGAAAGAAACAAUUUAUUGUUUACAUUUCUUUCUUAUUACCCUGUAUCUUUAUCAUAAGAACAUAACAUGUAUUACCGACUCUACAACACCUGGACAAAAGGGACAUGACAGGAUAGUAGCAAUGUCACUUUGAAUGAUCACAAAAUGCAAGAAAUGUGAACAAACGUGAAAAUAGUGGUGAAUGCACACCAUGUGCCAAAAACAUAUGGUUAUACCUAUGACUUUUUUGGGGCA